rfam:Nicotiana sylvestris Nsyl_contig23473, whole genome shotgun sequence.
AAACCAUGAUUAGGAGACCUUACCAAGUAUAACUUGAAUCUAUCCCAUGCCUCAUGUAGAUGUUCUCCCGGUACUUGCUUGAAAAAGAAAAUUUUAUCUCGGAGCUC